AACGAACGCUGGCGGCAGGUCUUAGGCAUGCAAGUCGAACGGGUGUAGUAACACACCAGUGGCGAACGAGUGAGUAACGCGUGGGAAUCUGCCCAUCUCUGGGGAAUAACGUUUGGAAACGAACGCUAAUACCGCAUACGCCCGCAAGGGGAAAGAUUUAUCGGAGAUGGAUGAGCCCGCGUUGGAUUAGUUAGUUGGUGGGGUAACGGCCUACCAAGGCGAUGAUCCAUAGCUUGUCUGAGAGGACGAUCAGCCACGCUGGAACUGAGAUACGGUCCAGACUCAUACGGGAGGCAGCAGCUAAGAAUAUUGGGCAAUGGAGGAAACUCUGACCCAGCCAUGCCGCGUGAAUGAAGAAGGCCUUCGGGUUGUAAAGUUCUUUUAGUCGUGACGAUGAUGACGGUAGCGACAGAAAAAGCACCGGCUAACUUCGUGCCAGCCGCCGCCGUGA
rnacentral:rRNA from 1 species